UCGGCCUCCCAAAUCGCUGGGAUUACAGGCGUGAGCCACCGCGCCCUGCCAGGAGACCAACUCUUGACGGAGCCUCCCUGAGGGGCGGGGCUUCAGAGGGCGGAGCUGGAGCCGGGAUAGGGCUGCGGUGGGACCAAAGCCUGUGAGAGACUUCCCAGCUGUCUGGCUUGUGGACUGAGCAAUCUGCGGCCGGGUCUCGAGGGGAAAAUAGGUCUGUGGUCCGCAAGGCCCCAAUGGAGACCUUGGGUUCCCGCAGAACCGACUGGGUCUCCAGUAGUCUCUGAGGAGCCGCUCGACCUUCUCCCGACCCUGGAUCUGAGGCAGGAGAUGCCUCCCCCGCGGGUGUUCAAGAGCUUUCUGAGCCUGCUCUUCCAGGGGCUGAGCGUGUUGUUAUCCCUGGCAGGAGACGUGCUGGUCAGCAUGUACAGGGAGGUCUGUUCCAUCCGCUUCCUGUUCACGGCUGUGUCGCUGCUGAGCCUCUUUCUGUCAGCAUUCUGGCUGGGGCUUCUGUACCUGGUCUCUCCUUUGGAGAAUGAACCUAAGGAGAUGCUGACUCUAAGGUGAAAGAGGGCACCUAGGGUGGGAAAUUGGGGGGCUCAAAGUUGCUUCUUUGAGAACCUUGAAGGCGUGGGGGCCUUUGGGAGGUGUCCAGGGGGACAGGGAGCCAACCCCACGGCGCCCACCUCCCACCUCCAGUGAGUACCACGAGCGCGUGCGCUCCCAGGGGCAGCAGCUGCAGCAGCUCCAGGCCGAGCUGGAUAAACUCCACAAGGAGGUGUCCACUGUUCGGGCAGCCAACAGCGAGGUGAGCCCCGGCCCACCUUGGAAACCCCUGAUGGAUCCCUGCUCCCAGGGUCCUGAGACUUAAGCUCCGCCCAGAGCCCUGCGGGAUUUCUCCCGGUGCCCACGAAGUCCAUCCCAAAGCAACCAGCUCCCAGAGGUCCCGUCCACCUGUAAAAGCAGCCCGCAAGCCUCGCCCCU
rnacentral:sRNA from 1 species